rnacentral:rRNA from 1 species
UACGGAGGGUGCAAGCGUUAUCCGGAUUCACUGGGUUUAAAGGGUGCGUAGGCGGGCAGGUAAGUCAGUGGUGAAAUCUCCGAGCUUAACUCGGAAACUGCCAUUGAUACUAUUUGUCUUGAAUAUUGUGGAGGUAAGCGGAAUAUGUCAUGUAGCGGUGAAAUGCUUAGAUAUGACAUAGAACACCAAUUGCGAAGGCCGCUUACUACACAAUGAUUGACGCUGAGGCCCGAAAGCGUGGGGAUCAAACAGG